rnacentral:rRNA from 1 species
AGAGUUUGAUCCUGGCUCAGGACGAACGCUGGCGGCGUGCUUAACACAUGCAAGUCGAGCGGUAAGGCCUCUUCGGAGGUACACGAGCGGCGAACGGGUGAGUAACACGUGAGCAACCUACCCCACACAUCGGGAUAACCCCCGGAAACGGGAGCUAAUACCGAAUACGACCACUUCAGACAUCUGACGGUGGUGGAAAGCUCCGGCGGUGGUGGAUGGGCUCGCGGCCUAUCAGCUUGUUGGUGGGGUAACGGCCUACCAAGGCUUCGACGGGUAGCCGGCCUGAGAGGGUGACCGGCCACACUGGGACUGAGACACGGCCCAGACUCCUACGGGAGGCAGCAGUGGGGAAUAUUGGACAAUGGGCGAAAGCCUGAUCCAGCAACGCCGCGUGAGGGAUGACGGCCUUCGGGUUGUAAACCUCUUUCAGCAGGGACGAAGCGCAAGUGACGGUACCUGCAGAAGAAGCACCGGCCAACUACGUGCCAGCAGCCGCGGUAAUACGUAGGGUGCAAGCGUUGUCCGGAAUUAUUGGGCGUAAAGGGCUCGUAGGCGGUCUGUCGCGUCGGGAGUGAAAACUCAGGGCUUAACCCUGAGCCUGCUUCCGAUACGGGCAGACUAGAGGUAUGCAGGGGAGAACGGAAUUCCUGGUGUAGCGGUGAAAUGCGCAGAUAUCAGGAGGAACACCGGUGGCGAAGGCGGUUCUCUGGGCAUUACCUGACGCUGAGGAGCGAAAGUGUGGGGAGCGAACAGGAUUAGAUACCCUGGUAGUCCACACCGUAAACGUUGGGCGCUAGGUGUGGGACUCAUUCCACGAGUUCCGUGCCGCAGCUAACGCAUUAAGCGCCCCGCCUGGGGAGUACGGCCGCAAGGCUAAAACUCAAAGGAAUUGACGG